AUCUAUUCUGCAAGCACCUGGCUGUGUGGAGCAAAUACAGCAGUGCUGAGUGCUGGAGGUACUGCGAGCUGAUCUGCUGCGAUCCCUGGAAUAUGGAUCUGUGCCUCCUGAGGGUGGAUUGAUGAGCUCCUGAGCCAGCCAAAGACAUCCCAGGUCUGAGGCGAGCAAGGCAAGAGCUCCAUCCCUGUUGUGUCAGGCCAGAUGGAAGCAGUACUGGGCCAACACUUGCCAUGAAGUAAGAAUUUGUUUCUUUCUUGAUGCCAAGGAACAAUGAUACUAAAUGGAAGGAGGGGAAGAAAAGAGCACACACCUACAAACUGAAAGAGGAGCGGUUAGCUACCUUCUUGCAUGUGCUGGCUCUCUUUGAACACCUCCAUCACCACCUAAGGGAGAAUGUGGAGAGGUGCUUUGUCCACUGCAAUCUGUUCCUGGAUGGGACGACACUUGAAUGACUGGAGCAUGCCGGAGCCAGGUGAAUGAUGCCCAGGGCUUCCCAGGCUUGGAGCUGUUGCCAGCUGUUGGGUUGCUGCUCUUGGAUCCCUGUACCUGCACCUGCCUGGUUGCUGCUGGGAGGAGAUGUGCCUUGCUCAGAGAGCAGGUGAUGGCAGCUCAAGGCAAAGUACAACAGCGUAGAACCAACAAAAAAUGAGCAGGUUGAGACCUAUGUUGUGCAGGCAGGAUGCAGGAGGAGGCCAUCUGUGGGAGCAGUGGGACACGUGUCAUCCCAGCAAGGCAGCAAGACAGAAUCUUCUUCCUGCAAAACCCAGCAAACACCAGCGUAGAGAAAGGAAACCUCAGUCUUGAAGCAGAAGAUAAGGAGCAGAAUGACCUUGCAUCUUCCAUCCAUACACCUGAGGUUAACAGUCGAGGAACCUGAGGCCAGGUGGGAUGAGAGCGCACAGGGUUGGUGCCCGUGGCACUGCUGGACUCGGAGCUGCAGAACCACCAUGUCCUCUCUCCUUAUCAUCCUCCACAUGCUCCUUUUUGGGUAUUUUGCAGCACUUUGAGGCUGGGAGAAGUGGUGCAGCAGCAAUGACAACCAGGACAUUGUCCCCUUGGGACAUGCAUUGAGCGAGACCCGGCUGCCUGCCUUAGCCCUUGAAAGGAAGGGGUGAAGGAAAAUGGGAAAAGGAGAAGGUGGGAAGGAGAACGAGAGAGAAAAAUGAAUUGCUUAAAACUUCUAUUACUCUUCAUUACCUUCUGCUUUAUAAAUUCGAAGUCAAACCUGGGGGCUCCAGACCCCGAAAGAAUGGAAGGGAAACGUUCCCUGCCUGCCCCGCCAACCAGCUCGUUAAACUCCAGCCCUCCUGCUGCUCUCCAGUGAUUUAUGGAGAAUCAAAGCCAAAGCCCCACUUGUCUGUAGAUGGGAUGCUUGGAUUCGAGGUGUUGUUUCAAAGAAAAGUGAUGGAUCAGAACCUGGAGACCAGGUCCAGCCCAGUCCCCAGCAGCAGCCCUGACCUCUUCUCCACCACCUCCAUCCUCUGCAGGUCCCUCAACCUACUCAGCACCUUAUUUUGAAGGGAAGGAGGCUCUUAUCUGACCCGCGCUUCACAUUUCAAGGCCGCCACGAGCCUUGGGCUCAUAUUUUUCACACGUCCUAAAACAUCAUCCCUCCCCCGGCACAAACGUGCAUACAUUCCUUAUGGUCUGCUUCCCCUCAGGGCCCCACAGGCCUGAAGAGAUGAUAAAAUUUCUGUAAAGUAGGUGUUUGAGGCAUUUCCUAGCAGUUCGUGACCCCGCUGAAACCCCUGCGAGGAACGCAGUAGGAUGCUUCACAUAACUCUGAAAAAGGAUGUUUUGGAGCUAAUUGCUUCCAAACCAUCCAAGUGAUGAGAAAUCCAGUGCUACCAGCAGCUCAUUUCCUUUGCUGUUUAAAUACAACACCCUGCUCUGGGCUGGGCUGUCCUGGCCCAGGAUCUGGGCACUGCUGCUCACACUGCUCCUGCUGUGCCGUGAAGCUCUCGGUAGGACCAUGUCUCCUCCCCGCAGGUGUAAGGAUGCCAUCAGCCAGCUAUUACCAACUCUUGGCCAAAUUAAGGAGAUCAUGCUCCUUGACUUGACCUCUGAAAUGUGCGAUUUCCCAUUCAUUAGUCUUUUUCUGACUCUUCCUUGAACCUUCCCCCCCACCCUCCAAUAUUUCCAUGUCCAUUUUGAAGCACAGAGGCAUCACAGCCUUCCAGUGCAAAACUGUUCGCAGGCAUUGCUUGAUGACCUCCAUCUCCACAGAGCUCUCCUGAGUCACCAGUUACCCAUUCUCCAGCCUUCUAAGGGCUAGAUGGGAAUCCCUCACCCAACUUUCAGCUGGCCUGUGUUAAAUGUGAUGAAUGGGCUGACAUUUGACCAUAUAAAAAUACCAUGUUUACUUGACCCAGGGCUGCCAAGCAAGCCUGAGGCUCCACAUCAUUAGCUGGGGCUCUGCAAGAGUCACUUCUCUUCCCCUUUCUUUGUGUCCCUUUGAAAAUUUUUCAAUGAGGAUUUAAUGGAUUCUUCUCCUUUUCUUCCCCGAACCAUUGCUGGAGACAUUACAUGGGACAGGGUCAGGACCAGCCAUUUUGGGUCUCCUCAAGAAACAAGGCUGUUUGAUAUCAGUUCUUUCAGGACUCCGUUUAGAAAGCUAAUUAAAAACGCCAGCCAUUUAAUGUGCACAAUGUUGAUUUUGGAUGGCUCCUCUUCAUCCAUUACAACAGCCCGUGAUGCAAAGCCAAGCACUUUUUAGAAGUUUGACCAGUUUAGGAAUAAGCGUAAGGCCAGUGACAGCUGGCCUCCAGGAGACAGAUGGGCUCUGAGAGCAGGAGGAAUUACUGCGGCCAGGAGUCCAACCUCCUGAGUGACACAGGCUAUAAAAUGGCAUCCAUUAGGCUCCUUUGAAAAUCCCAAUGAUAAAUCUUCCUGGUCCAAUCCUUUCCCUCCACAGCUCCCCUGGAAGAAGUAAGGUUGCUCAGGGUGCUCAAUAGGAUGCUGGUAGGGCCAGCCUGGCUCUGGCCGUAUUCAGAUCUCUCCUACUGGUGCAGCAAACUCCCAAAAGCAUUCAUAGUUUCCAUGCUGCUAAUUUUAGGGCUUUGCUUUCCAGCACCCACAGACUUGGAGACACAGCCUGCUGCCUCGCUGCAGCUUACAUGUUUUCUAAUGGCCCCAACCCAGAGAUUUACACUAAGCCAACUCAUUUUGAAACCCUUCCAUAAAAAUGCCUUCUGCAAACAGAUUUGUUUCAUUAUCGUUGAGCUCGAAAGUGCCUGAAGUAACAAACAACUUCAAACUCCUUCAAAUUUAUCCUGGCACCGGGCUUGCACUUCAUUUAGAUGCUAUGUACCUGGGUGCGUGCCCUGUGGGGGACAGGCAGGAGAGGGACGGAUGGAGCUCUGUGCAAUGUAUCAGUGAUUAUGGUGCAAUAAAUAUUGGAUGGAGGAUCUAUGAUAACAUCUAUUACAGCUUUAUGAAAUAUUGAUAGCGUCUGAAUACAUAUUGCCUCCUGAACAGCUCGUUCCGGAGAUGUUUAAUGAAAGACAUCUGUCGUUUUAUCCUUGAAUCUACAUGGAGGCAAAAUUUAGUCUCCAUCCCCACUGUAAUCUCCGUGAGGCUUUCCAGAUCUGCGAGGAAGUGGCAUGAAAUGCUCAGGCUCACCUAUAUGGAUGGGUCUGUUUUAUGCACACACAGUCUUCCAUUUUGGGAAGAAGUUAAUGUUGUGCCUUUCUAGAAACAACCUCUUUGCAGACAGCUGGCUUUAGCAGGACCAACUUAAGGCUGCCAUGGCCAAACAGUGGGAGCAAAUGGGGCUCCCAGGAAAACCAGCUCAUCCGUCAGGCAUUCAUCCCUGGCUGUGCACGUAACCCUGCACACAGCACACACCCUGCGUGAACCCAACGCGCUGAUCCCUGACACAUGUUCACCCCAGAUGCCCAAUGUAAUCCCAAAUUAAAGACAUAUGGUGUUACUUCUCACCUCACAAGGUCUCCCCAGGCGUGCACAUGCAUGCAUACACACCAGCCCUCCACACCACUGAUCAUUUCAGUCUUUAUUCACUUUCCUCCUAACACCGCAAAGCCCACCCUGCUCAGGUCCUCCCAGCAUAGGAAACUGAAGCACGUGAUCUCCAGACAGAAGGAGCUAUCGCCUCCUUCACAUCCAAACCCAGAUUUACCAUCAUCCACCACCAUCUGGAGCAGCAGCUCUCGGCUCACAUGCUGUGCUUUGUCCCCAUCUGGCCUCACCAAGGGCAGUGUUCACCUCCAGGACCCAUUUGCUUGCUCUGUGGAUGGAAACACGUUUCUGCCUUUCUUUCCCACAGCCUCAGGUGAUGGGAAAGCCCUCCCAGGCUUGAGCCAACAUCUUAGAAUCGUGAAAUCAUUUGGGUUUGGAAAAGACCUUCAAGAUCACCGAGUCCAACCACCAACUUGCCCAAGGCCAUGGCCAACCCCUUGCGGUAAAGUGGCACAACAAAAUCUUUCUGGUUACCAGGCAUCACGUGGCUUCGUUCUCACACUGAUAAUUCUAAUUAUUCACAGCUCUGCACUGCUAAAGAAGACAGAGAAGGUAGGGGCAUCAACACACAGCCUCUCCUCUCCCCUGGGCAGAGCCUGCAAAGCUGAUCUGAGCCCACGUAAACCCCAGGCUGUAUCUGCAGGCCGCCUCCACAGACCUGCCUCUCACCCUGGCCCUGCUCCCACGCACUCACCUCGCAUAAAGCCACGCACCUGUGGUCUGAACUAGAAAGGAUGAACUUUUCCAGCCUGAGGGCUGACAAGCUGAGCCUCCUCAAUUGCCUCAGCAAGAAUGAGAAUCUCAGCAUCACCUUAUUUCCCAGUUUCACUGUGCUCAUAAAAUGCUUCUGCUGAACCAUGGGGCAUUCAAGACAACAUAAGAAAGAGAAAGCAGAAAUGACUGUGAGACCUCAGACGCAUGUUUUCUGCAGAUCAAUAGCCGCUUACUAGCAACACUUCCCCGGGAACAUCUUCCCCUCCUAUGAACUAUGUCUGAUCCACCCAGCCCAGCCACGGAGGAGUAAUCCAACACCACCACCCCCAUUUGUUACCACUUAGGAGAGUCUACUGUACUCGCAACAACAACACGUGGCCCUCCUCUGCUCUGAAUUAAUGAUGGGUGCGAUUGUGUUUCCUCUCUCAGCAGGAGGAAAACCAGCACCCGAGCCAGCCCUGUGCUCCAUGCAUCUCCUUCACCAGGCCUGGGGAGAAGCACGGAGCUCACUCCAUGCUGGAACGAAUUGCAGCCUGGAGCAGGUCUUAAAGAAAGGCAUGCAGAAAUUCAGGUUUGACACUGAAUUCAAAGGGAUGGGUGCUGCAGAGAAGCAGAGUGCAACCAGGAUGGAGUCAGUGGCCCACCACGCACAGAAGACUGAAGUAUUGAUCCUAAUUAUUACUGAACCCAAAUUAAGACAAAAUCCCUGUCCAUUUGCUGAAUGCAGUUCAUACUAUUCCAAAAGGCCACACUAAGCCCCAGCUCACAGUGGAUUUUCACAGCUCAAGCACAGUGCUGGGCACUCCCAUGGCUCAGGGUAGGAGGGCUCAGUCUGCCCAGGCAUCUCCUCAGCCCCACACCGAUGUGUUGGUACCUAGAUCUAGAGAGUUAGAUAACACAACACAGCAUCUUCAGAUUCACGGUAAUGUGUUGUUUAAGGAGGCCAAAACAUCAAGGGGGACCAGGCAGGACCAGGACCCUCAAAUCCCCAACUUCACUCCCCCCUCCCCCUCCACCAUCCUCUGAAACCAGGACCGCAAAUUGAGCUUAGCCUCUUCCUCCCCCUCCACUCACACCCUCACUCCUUGAAUUAAGAGGAAAGAAAAUGAACGCUGCAUGCUGCAUCCUGCAACUGAGGCACUGUGCAGCACCAUCCCCAGUGGAUGCAGUCCUCUGGAGACUACAAGAAGUCCCAGGGGGGCAUCAGCAGCCGUGGCACAGCAUCCGCAGCACAGCGGAGUACCACUGCUCGCUCUCCAGCCCUAUUUCUGUGUUCCAUGCCAGUUGGCACUGCUGAUUCUGUGGUGCUCUGGAGUACCCUUAUCUCUCCAGGAGAGGCUUUCACCACAGCCCUUGAGCACUAGGAAAUGGAGAUACUCAACUGCUCUACAUCAAUCAGAGGGGGAGGCUGGGAAGGGGAACAGCGUGUCCCCGCCUGUCGCUCCAUGUAAGCUCUGCCCUUCACUGCUGACAGCAGAUUAAUUCCCAGCCAAAGCACAACACCCUCCUGAUGGAGAGGGGAAGCCUUCAAAAAGCAAAGCCUCCCACCCGUGAGUGCCCUGAAGUGGGGGGCGCAGCUAACAGGCAGCACAGGAGUCCCCAGGACGGAGAGUGCUUGGACAACACUGUCCAUUAGUACCUGGGUAUGGGUGGUGCUGCAAACAGAUUUUGCCAGGAAGCCAGUAGUGGCAUCCCCACAGUGCAGCAGGUCUGGGAAUUUGGGGCAUCUGGAGAUGGUCACAGUGCAACGACAACAUGGUUGCGUUAGGGACCACCCCUUUCCCCCCUAGCUCUGUGGCUGGAGGCUGCGAGUGGGCUCCCACCAGCUCCUGCACCCACAGGGAAGCUUUUCCCCAGGCUGCUCAGAUGAGAGCCCAGGGAAAGGGGGAACUGUCUGCCUGUGCCCUGGGCAAGCUGGGCUGCAAUUUCUCUCCUCCCGCAGCCCACGGCACCAGCUGCCCUCCCAGGGGCUGCUCUCCUCCUGGCAUGCUGUGAGUCACGUCUCUGAUGUCACCUCUCCACGUCACUGGAGCUUGGAAAUGGAUUUAAUGAGCCCGUGUUUUCUUCAGCUAAGAAAAACCUCAAAGAGGCUUAUGCUCGAGCACCCUGAGGAGCCAGCAGGGCUCUCUGCAGCUGCCACAGUCCCCACAGGAGGACAGAUAGCUGCACAGUGCUCCAAAGCAGGGCGGUCAGCACCAAAAGCAGAGCGCCAGACAUGCAGGGGACAACGCAUCACAGAGAUGGGAGGAUGUUUGUCCACAAUGCGCCCUUCCACAUUACCACCCUCCUCAUGGGACGUGGCAGGUGAUGCCCUGCAAUGCCUCAUGAUGCUCACGGGGAGGGGACAGCACAGUAGUGGCACCGUGCCCACACUCAGAGGACCCAGCAGCAUCUCUGAGGGCUGCCACACAAUAAGCUGAGGUGGUGGCCAUUGCUCCUCAUGUUCUCCCACUCCCAGACACAUGUGCUGGACCCAUCCCCACAAACAUCUAUCUUAGGCCGCCCAGCAGCUUUUUUAACACCAGUCACAUUGGGGAUGUGAAUCCUGAUUCACAGCAGUAUAGAUUGAAAUGUGAGCCUGUGGUGUUUUCAGAAGAACAAGUCCUUGUAAAGCAGAAGGGAACAAAAUUCAUUAUCAAAAUCAAGGGAAACGAGGAACAUUUGUUCUCUUUUAUGAAGGUCACUAAGAAAGGAAGCCCUACAUGGGGUCCCUGAAAAGCCAGUAGUGUAUGCAGUCAGCAGACAGAGGGCAUCUUCUAUUAAUGAAGGUGCCUCACCAAAAACACAGGCAUCAUAUAAAUUAUCAGAUAAUGAAAUUCCAGUUAAUUUGCUGCCUGGUCAGCUACAGCCCUCCUGCCAUGCUCCUGAGCCCAGCCAAUAACAUUAAGAAAGAAUUACCUUGCUACUAGGGCAGCUGGUGGAAAACCACAUCCCGAUUACUCGAUUCAGAAAACAAUAUCUUCUCCAGGACAAGAGGGGUGGAUGCUGCAGCCCCAUGGCCCUCCACACUGGGUUGACUACACAGGGACAUGUUCCCAACUGAUUCUUGCAGCCCUUUACCUUUUAGCAGCUUUGCUACCAGGAUCUCUUGAUGGGAUCCUUUUGCCCAGUUGCUCAUGGGCAUCCCACCUCACCCACAGCUCCCUGUUCUCUCCUGGGUUUGUGUCUCCUUACCAGAACCCAGAAGAGCAACCAGAGAACAAGGAGAUGGCAUCCACCCCCUUUGCUCAAGUAAGUUCUUGAUCCCAUGGGUAGAAAGAGACUUAAGAAGGGGAAGUUUGGGGGAACCUUCCCCUUCUAAAUAGGCUGUAGUGGUUGAAAGCAAAGACAAGGCUCAGGAAGAGGUCCUACAUCCUCAACAUGGAGUGGGUUUCAAGUACAAACUGCAUUAUAGCUCCUUCCAUUCUCCUUCUCCAUCUGCUGCUCCAAACUAUCAGAGCACCAAGAAUUCAGCAUGCGCCAUGUAAUUUUAAAGCCAUUAUGUAAGCUGCUCUCCCCUCCCCACCUCUCAAUGUCUCCAAUUGGUGUGUCAGAAUGUAAUUAGCUUUUGAUGGGAUGUUAAGAUUUCUUGAGCUCCCGUGGAGAGGUAGCAUGGGGAGAGGCGAGGCAGCGGAUUGUGAUUGUCACUCCCCACAUAAGUGCUCGAAGACCCUGGAAGACUCAUUUACAAAAAUGUAAAAUAAAUAAAUAAAUAAACCUAAAAGCAGCAGACCCAGUAGGCUUCAGCUUAAUUGACUGAAUUUGUGGGUUAUUUAUUUAUUUUUUUACCUCCGCUUGGUGAGAAAUGAGAAUUAACUCUCUCAUAGCCAACGAAGGAGCGCCAUGCUGUGGCAACGGUCAGGGCUCUAUUGCACAUCCCAGUUGGAGAGGCUGGAAGCACUGAGCUGUUGGUUCCUGCCCUUCCAAGCAGUGCCAGCUUUGCUGCUACAACCAACUGCACGAGGACUCCUCCACCAGAUUCAUUACUGAGUCCUCCAGCCCUGCACCACAAAAACACCAGCCCUCCUGCCAGGGCACCCAAGAAGCAGAAAGGUUUGGGCAUGGCCAAGUGUGCUCCCACAGCCCAAAGGUAACACUUGGAAUCCAGAUCCGUGAGUGUUUCGGGGCUAACAGACCCAACUUGAGGUGCUUGUAAUCUGCCAUGGUGCUUUUACAAAAACAAGCUCCUCUUGAUGUCUUGUUGCCAGCCUCCCAGUGCCCCAUACCACAGACCAGUGCUCUCAUGGUCAUACCACACACUCAGACCUUACUUCACACCCUUUCCCCAAUAGCCGACCCACUUGGAGGUACAGAACGAGGCAGGCAAAUCCCCCAGAACAAGUUUUCCACCAUCUGGCUGGGCCUGAACUUUCACAAGAGCAUCUGCCCCAGCCAACAAGCAUUUACGUGCCUACAGAUGGUGCUCAUAUCACCGAGCAGUAUGUUUGUCUACACAUUGACCCUGGCCCGAAGCCCACUGGAGUCAUCAGAUGCUUUUCAUUAACUCCAACAGGCUGUGGAUGGCAGUUUGGUCAGUCUCCACUGGUGCAGGCAGAGGCACUCAAACGAAUCCUGCAGGAUGCUCAAACGUGUGUGCCUCCAGGUCAGCCCAUAGCAGCUUUCCCAAACACAAGCCUGCCACAGACUCCUUCCAAAUGCACGUGGCUGGAUAUAAAUACGCCUCUGUCUCUGAAUUAGGUGAUGAUGUGAAACACAGGCACAUCCAAUACAAUAAUGAGCCAUUCCCAUCAAAUGCCAAUUCAACUGGAUAAUGGGCCAUAUUGAUUGCUUCGAGGACCAGACCAAUUUCACUUGUCCUUUUAAUGAUUAUUAUGACAUUAUCUAUAUUAUUUCUGCUCAGAAAGAUUAAUUCCCCAUUCCCCACCCCAAUCACUCUGGAUGCGAGGCCAUUCAAGUCUCCAUUCUGAACAGAAGCUGAGGAGACCUCUGCAAGGACUGGACUUAAUUCACUUCUGAAGUGUUAUCAGGCAAUUGGAGCUUUUUUCUCUAAUACUGCCACUGGCAUUAAUGGAAAGAAAACAAUAAAUGUAUCUGGUCACCAAGCAGUCAGCCUCCCCUUUCGUAGCUCUACUGACAUUUCUGUUUCCAGCCCAGACAGUAAUGCAUUCCAUUUUAAUUUUAGCAAACGCUUUCUUUAUGAUCAGAGACGUUAUUCAUUUGUACUUGUUUGCAUCUCCCUUAAAAUUCAGUAUUUCAUCCGGGGAUGCAGGGUUAUGGUCUACUUCUCAAAAUAAAGCACAUGUGGCACAAUGAUAUUUCAAA